rnacentral:rRNA from 1 species
AUGGACAGUUCGACCAAACUAUUCCAUGAGUGGGAAAUCCAGAUACUUGUGCUACUCAGCUUCACACUACAAUUGUUCCUCUUCUUUGCUGGCAGGCUUCGGCGCCAAAGCAGCAGUGGGUUCCUGAGACUCUCCACCUGGGCAGCUUACUUAGGGGCAGAUUUGGCAGCAGUUUAUGCACUGGGCUAUCUCUCAAAGCGUCAAGAUGACACCACUGAAACGAACAUACUUACAAGAACCCAACCGCUAGCUAUCUUUUGGGCACCAUUUCUUCUCAUCCAUCUUGGAGGGCAGGACACCAUUACUGCUUUCGCCAUGGAGGACAACAACUUGUGGUUGAGGCAUCUGUUGAAUCUGGUGACACAAGUUGUCAUAGCUUUAUAUGUUUUCUGGAAAUCCAUCGGAAAACACAAUGUGAACCUUCUACUUGCGGGUAGCUUUGUGUUUGUUGCUGGAAUUAUCAAGUAUGGAGAAAGAACAUGGUCUCUCAAGUGUGGUAGCCUUAAAAGUCUUGAGAGCACAGAUGCAAAAAGUUACAGAAAACAAUUGCCCGAAGGAAUCUCGGAUGAUGAUGGGUUUGUCCGUGCUGCUCUGGAUUCCAUGCAUCAUACCAUUGAUAUCUUAUCCGAGCUUAGCAUGUUUGGUUCCAAAAGAGAAGAAUUAGCGGAGAUAGACAAAACUGACCAAGUGAUUCGGAUGGUCAAGCUUCAGCUUGGAAUUAUGUAUGAUGAUCUCUACACCAAGGCUCUUGUGUUCACCACUCGGAGCGGAGUCCUACUUAGGUGCAUCUCUCAGGCAUCUAUUAUUGUUGCUUUUGCACUCUUCCUUGCAAAUGACAACGAGAGGUAUAACAAAGCUGACACUAUAAUUACCUAUUCACUGUUUGCCGGGUGCUUUUUCCUAGAAGUCUGUUCAAUAUUUGUUUCCAUGAUGUCACCUUGGACAUGGACAUGGUUGAAGGUUCACAAGUGGGACACACUUGCCUGGUUCUCGUGGUUUGUCUUUCGUUGGGACAUCGGAUACCCAAGGAUGAAACAGCGGUGGCCAAAUGCGAUUGGACAGUACAACUUCCAUGGUUGGGUGACUAACAGCAACCUGCAGCCAAGAACACACAGUCAACGAAUAAUG